rnacentral:rRNA from 1 species
GACGUAGGGCGCGAGCGUUGUCCGGAUUUAUUGGGCGUAAAGAGCUCGUAGGCGGCUUGUUGCGUCGACCGUGAAAACCCGGGGCUCAACUUCGGGCUUGCGGUCGAUACGGGCGGGCUAGAGUUCGGUAGGGGAGACUGGAAUUCCUGGUGUAGCGGUGAAAUGCGCAGAUAUCAGGAGGAACACCGGUGGCGAAGGCGGGUCUCUGGACAGUUCCUGACGCUGAGGCACGAAGGUCAGGGGAGCAAACGGG